rnacentral:rRNA from 1 species
CCUACGGGAGGCAGCAGUAGGGAAUCUUCGGCAAUGGACGAAAGUCUGACCGAGCAACGCCGCGUGAGUGAAGAAGGUUUUCGGAUCGUAAAGCUCUGUUGUAAGAGAAGAACGAGUGUGAGAGUGGAAAGUUCACACUGUGACGGUAUCUUACCAGAAAGGGACGGCUAACUACGUGCCAGCAGCCGCGGUAAUACGUAGGUCCCGAGCGUUAUCCGGAUUUAUUGGGCGUAAAGCGAGCGCAGGCGGUUAGAUAAGUCUGAAGUUAAAGGCUGUGGCUUAACCAUAGUACGCUUUGGAAACUGUUUAACUUGAGUGCAGAAGGGGAGAGUGGAAUUCCAUGUGUAGCGGUGAAAUGCGUAGAUAUAUGGAGGAACACCGGUGGCGAAAGCGGCUCUCUGGUCUGUAACUGACGCUGAGGCUCGAAAGCGUGGGGAGCAAACAGGAUUAGAUACCCUGGUAGUCCACGCCGUAAACGAUGAGUGCUAGGUGUUAGACCCUUUCCGGGGUUUAGUGCCGCAGCUAACGCAUUAAGCACUCCGCCUGGGGAGUACGACCGCAAGGUUGAAACUCAAAGGAAUUGACGG